rnacentral:rRNA from 1 species
AGAACGAACGCUGGCGGCAUGCCUAACACAUGCAAGUCGAACGCUUUUGGGGCUUCGGUCCCAAAGGAGUGGCGCACGGGUGAGUAGCGCGUGGGAACCUGCCCUGUUGUGGGGGAUAACCGAGGGAAACUUCGGCUAAUACCGCAUACGCCCGGGGGAAACUCCGGGGAAAGAUUUAUCGCAGCAGGAGGGGCCCGCGUCGGAUUAGGUAGUUGGUGGGGUAACGGCCCACCAAGCCUGUGAUCCGUAGCUGGUCUGAGAGGAUGAUCAGCCACACUGGGACUGAGACACGGCCCAGACUCCUACGGGAGGCAGCAGUGGGGAAUAUUGGACAAUGGGCGCAAGCCUGAUCCAGCAAUGCCGCGUGAGUGAUGAAGGCCUUCGGGUGUAAAGCUCUUUCGCACGCGACGAUGAUGACGGUAGCGUGAGAAGAAGCCCGGCUAACUUCGCGCCAGCAGCCGC